UUUACUGUGGGGUGGUAUGGGGGAAGGGGGAUAGUGAAAUCUUGAUGAGUGCAAAUUUAUAAUUUCUGAGUGGUCAAGUUUCUAUGUUAAUGAUGUGCUUUGAGGUAUUUUUGGCAAGAGACCCUAAAAAAAUUAUGCAAAAUUCCCUAGUUGGUGGUAAUUCUGCCUGCCAUUUGGGGGUUGGGUAUUUUUAUUCUAGUGUUUUUUUCAUUGUAUGUACUGUUUAUUAAUUUGUACUACAGAAUUCCCCAAAAAUUAAGAUUAUUAUCGACUUUAGAAAUUGAC
rnacentral:lncRNA from 1 species